rnacentral:misc_RNA from 1 species
GUCUUCAUUUGCUCUUCCUGCCUUUUGAGGUGGGGAGAAGAUGACGAUUUCCUUGCCUAGAAGAGGUUUUAACCCUCCUUCAUCUAGGAUUAGGAUGCAUAUAUAAGUUAUCGUCUUUGUUUUUAUAGAUGGGUCAAAAUAAAGAGGAUUUUUUUAAGAAAACUUGCGAUGUGGCUUUAGUUCUUUGGCUCUUUAAAUGUGUUUGUCGU